rfam:Carnobacterium sp. CP1, complete genome.
CGUAGUAACAACGAAUAGUGAGAAGUCAGCAGACGCCAUAGUAGGAGAACACAGUUCUCUGAAGGGC